rnacentral:tRNA from 1 species
GCCUGGGUGGCUCAGCUGGUUAAGUGUCUGACUUCAGCUCAAGUCAUGAUCUCACGGUUCGUGGGUUCGAGCCCCACUUUGGGCU